ACGCACGCUGGCGGCGUGCCUAAUACAUGCAAGUUGAGCGAUGAAGAUUGGUGCUUGCACCAAUUUGAAGAGCAGCGAACGGGUGAGUAACGCGUGGGGAAUCUGCCUUUGAGCGGGGGACAACAUUUGGAAACGAAUGCUAAUACCGCAUAACAACUUUAAACAUAAGUUUUAAGUUUGAGAGAUGCAAUUGCAUCACUCAAAGAUGAUCCCGCGUUGUAUUAGCUAGUUGGUGAGGUAAAGGCUCACCAAGGCGAUGAUACAUAGCCGACCUGAGAGGGUGAUCGGCCACAUUGGGACUGAGACACGGCCCAAACUCCUACGGGAGGCAGCAGUAGGGAAUCUUCGGCAAGGGACGAAAGUCUGACCGAGCAACGCCGCGGGAGUGAAGAAGGUUUUCGGAUCGUAAAACUCGGUUGGUAGAGAAGAACGUUGGUGAGAGUGGAAAGCUCAUCAAGUGACGGUAACUACCCAGAAAGGGACGGCUAACUACGUG
rnacentral:rRNA from 1 species